rnacentral:rRNA from 1 species
UACAGAGGGGGCGAGCGUUGUUCGGAAUUACUGGGCGUAAAGGGCGCGUAGGCGGCCCGCUAAGUCGAACGUGAAAUCUCCAGGCUCAACCUGGAGGGGUCAUUCGAUACUGCCAUGACUAGAGGUCGGUAGGGGAGUGUGGAAUUCCUGGUGGAGCGGUGAAAUGCGCAGAUAUCAGGAGGAACACCCGUAGCGAAGGCGGCACUCUGGGCCGAUUCUGACACUGAGGAGCGAAAGCGUGGGGAGCGAACAGG